UCCUGGAAAGUAUUCACCACUCCAGUCUCCAACCAUGAAGCUUCUCAUUGUUCUCCUUCUGGUCAGCUGCCUGUCCAUGACACUACUACCAGCAACCGUCGAGGCCCAGCACGGCGGAUACUGCCAAUGCAAAUACCGAUGUUCCCGAUGGGAGAGAGACGCGGGGCGCUGUGGAUACCAAAGGAGGUGUUGUCCGAUUUAUAGAGGCUAAUGAGACGGUGAAUGACAAAUCGCAAACAGCUUAAUACAUGUAUCUAUACGAUUCAUGUGUUGUUCGUGGUGAAAAUAAAGUAUCGUUGAAACUA